CAAUCUACCCUUCCGUCCGGGAUAACUAGCCGAAAGGUUAGCUAAUACCAGAUACGCUCAUCGAACGGCAUCGUUUGAUGAUGAAAGCAGCAAUGCGCGGAUUGAGGAGCCUGCGGCCCAUUAGCUAGUUGGUGAGGGUAACGGCCCACCAAGGCAACGAUGGGUAGCUGGUCUGAGAGGACGACCAGCCACACUGGGACUGAGACACGGCCCAG
rnacentral:rRNA from 1 species